GACGUAGGAUGCGAGCGUUAUUCGGAUUUAUUGGGCGUAAAGCGUGCGUAGGCGGCUGUUUAAGUCUGGUGUUAAAGCUAGGGGCUCAACCCCUGUGGUGCAUCGGAUACUGGGCAGCUUGAGUGCGGUGAGGGGAAGGUGGAAUUCCGAGUGUAGCGGUGAAAUGCGUAGAUAUUCGGAAGAACACCGGUGGCGAAGGCGACCUUCUGGGCCGCAACUGACGCUGAGGCACGAAAGCCUGGGGAGCGAACGGG
rnacentral:rRNA from 1 species